rnacentral:lncRNA from 1 species
CUUUGAGCCCAGCUUUGGCAUCAAGAUAAAUCCCUGCAAUUAUAUGGGAAUUUAGUGGCAUAAGGUACUUUCUUGCCCUUUGUCACAGUCCUGUGAAAGAGGGAGGACAUCAUCACCAUUGUGUACAGAGAGAAUGAGAGAAAAUGAGUAACUUGUCCAUGCUCAUAGAAUAAGGAACUAACAAAUUCAACUCAGCCUGCAGUCUGCUGACUUCCAAUCUCAGGCCCUUUCUCUUCCUAUAUGCUGUCAUCCAGAGAAAGACCAAUUUUGACUUUUUCAUGAUCAUAUGCUUAGAUAUAGCCCUGUGGGAUAAAAAGUAUCAUAACUUGUCUCAUUAUCUUCUCAUAGGCGAAAAGAAAAUAGAUGCCUGAUUUGUAGCAUGCCAUUCCAUUUGUAUUCUUGAUGGAAUUUCCAAAGCCUAUGUGCAAUUGACCUCAAACAAGGAACCUCUUAUAAUAGUUCAUACACAAUACUAUUUGCUUAGGGUAACAUUUAAAACAGAACUCAGUGAUCCUUUUCCUUCCCAGUGUGAUUGAGUUGGAGUCAAAUCUACUAUGGUGUGAUACAGCAUUCACCUGUAAGGAGAUCUGGUUGUUUUCUGAGAUAGAGAAAAUGAAGUCUUCCCUCCAGCACACACUCUCUCUGCCCAACAAGAGCAUCAGCACACUUGGAAGUUCUGCCUUCUUAAGGCAGCUGUAUUUCCAUGGAGCAAGAGUGUACUCUGACCACAGGAAUAGCAUACAAGAACACUCUGAAGGCAAUGAAAAGGACUGACUAAAGAGAAGAAAGUAUCAAAGACAAAGAAGACUGCAGAGACAGAUUUGAAGCAAGGCAACGGUAACAAGAGUGGAUUAAUUUUCAGAAUAUCUAAAAAGUUGAGAGUUCUUGAGAUCAAUUGUCCAUGGUGGUGCGAGAGACGAGGGAGUAGAGGAAGAUUUGGAAGUUUCAACUUGGAUAAUCAGCAUGUGAAAACAACAUUAACUGAUGUAGUGUAAGAAAUUCUUGAAAAGCAAUUUAAUCUAGUUCAGCACUAGAUGGAGAAUGUUGGAAACAAACUCCAAAAUAACUUCCUAUUACCCUCAAACAAAACUUUGAGACUUGGCACAUUUGGAGUAAUUUUGAUUGCUCCAUUUUGAGAAAGCUGUUAACAAAAUUUGGAGGACGUAUAGCAAAUAGCAUCUAAAAUGUUCAGGAAAAGAGAGGAACUGCUUGGACAGACUAAAAACUAAGAACUCUUCAGAUUACAUAUCUUGAAAGGUUAUAAAAUCAUCAAGGCUCAUGAACAUGACUUACUCACCAAACCCAAAUCACUAGAAUUUAAAAUAAUGAAAGGAAAUUCCCUCUCAUCUUAUAAUGAAAAUAUUCAGACAAACAAAAAAGUUGCAAGAAUUAGACAGUGAAUACCCAUUUAUCACCAAUUCAUUUCUACAAUUUAGUGUGUUUUAGUCCUCUUAGUAUAAUUUUAGAUGCUUUUUAACGCAUCUGUUUGUUUAUCCACUCCUCUCUCUAUCCAUUGGUUCAUAUCUAUUUUUUUCAAAAUAAAUUGUAGAUAGCACUACGUUUAUCAGCUUUAUUCCUAAACACCUUAUUGUGCAU